rnacentral:rRNA from 1 species
UACCGAGGUCCCGAGCGUUGUUCGGAUUCACUGGGCGUAAAGGGUGCGUAGGUGGUCUCGAAAGUCUGAUGUGAAAUCUCCGGGCUUAACCCGGAAAUGGCAUUGGAAACUGCGGGGCUAGAGUGUUGGAGGGGGGACUGGAAUUCUCGGUGUAGCAGUGAAAUGCGUAGAUAUGUGGAGGAAUACCGAUGGCGAAGGCAGCCCCCUGGGAUAACACUGACGCUCAUGCACGAAAGCGUGGGGAGCAAACAGG